CACCACCUCCCUGGGCAGCUGUGCCACUGCCUUCUGAGAAGAAUCUUUUCCUACUAUACAACCUGAAACGUUACAUCUCACAAGGAUGACUGGUAGCAGGCUUGUUUUUACUGGUUCUGCCGCCAUCUAAAAGUGCAGACAAAAGUAAAGAUAAACAUAUGAUAUUACAGCAACUUGAGAAAGAUUAAAAAUACCUGCACGAAGCAGGUGUUUAGCUUACAGCAUGACAUACAGCAAGCCAGCACCACUCAGCUCUCAGGACCAAGUCUUUUACACAACCUGUGUUUGUUGAAGGCACUGUUCACAUCUCGGUGUUGCAGGGAUGAUGAUGGAAAUCCCAAAGACCAUCCUUCAGAGCAGUAUUGUUCUCACAACUGUCUGUAAAAACAUGGUCCCUCCAUUGCUUUCGUUCAUUAACUUGAACUAGAGAACUGCAUGAGGACAUUCCAAUUUUAAGGACUAACAGAUGGGGAUCUUGGGAAAAAAGCUGACAGCUGAGAAAUGGCAUAGACUUUCAAGACACCCCAGCACAGCAUGCCACUGUGGGAUGAAGAAGGGAUGGAGCUGCACAGAACUGCUUUUGACAGCAAAAAGUUGACUGUUCUACCAACUUCCAUAUCUACAGAUUGCUUCAGAGGAACUGUUGAGCAAAUCCCUUCAUGCAGAUAUCACUGGAGUCUGGAAAAGGGCCAGCAGAACUAACAGAGAAUUUGAAUGGAAGCCAACUGACUUUUUUUAAAAUUUCUAACAUUAAAGGGCAAUAUUUCCCCUUUUUUUACCAUGUCUAUCUGAACUCACUUAAUGCAGUAGGUUUGUGAAAAGGAUCCUUUUGUUUCCAGAGCAGGCACAGUCACUUUUCCCUUGUUUCUCUCCUACAACUCUUGAACAAUUGUAUCAAAAUAUUUUACUAGAAAAACAAUUAUAAUAGGCUACCACAUUCUGUUUCUGUACUAAGCCCUUCACACCAAUAAGGUUUUUGCCACGUAGGAGGGAGAGUUAAUGCCUAUAUGCUCUUCCUACUUGCAAGCAAAGUGAUUUGUUUCAAAGAGAAAAAAAUAGCUCAUUUACUGGUUGGGUUCUUGAAUUGAAUAACUGAAGUUACUAUGAACAUGAGUUACUUUGCAACUAAUUUUAGCAUCUCGUGUCUGAAGUAAGCCACAUGGAAACAGUGACUUAAGAUGGCUGGAAUUUUAGACUCAUGCUGUGAGUUCUGUUGCCAGCGUUGUCUCUUGUAAACAAAAAGCUGAUUAAGAUACGGUGAUGCUCAGAAGGUAUCUUUAACAAAUAUACAGUACUAAUUCUGAAGUUUAGUAAGUAACACUUCAAUAUUAAUGCUAACUAAUCUGACUACCAAAUAUAUCUAUCUGUGUCUGUCUUGUUUUGCCAAUAAAAAUACUGGAGUCU
rnacentral:lncRNA from 7 species